CCUACGGGAGGCAGCAGUAAGGAAUAUUGGUCAAUGGAGGCAACUCUGAACCAGCCAUGCCGCGUGCAGGAAGAAGGCCCUAUGGGUCGUAAACUGCUUUUGUACCAGAGAAAACCCGAGUACGUGUACUCGGUUGAUAGUAUGGUAAGAAUAAGCAUCGGCUAACUUCGUGCCAGCAGCCGCGGUAAGACGAAGGAUGCAAGCGUUAUCCGGAUUCAUUGGGUUUAAAGGGUGCGUAGGCGGACUGAUAAGUCAGUGGUGAAAUCUCUCGGCUUAACCGAGAAACUGCCAUUGAUACUGUUAGUCUAGAGUAUAGAUGACGUUGGCGGAAUAUGACAUGUAGUGGUGAAAUACUUAGAUAUGUCAUAGAACACCGAUUGCGAAGGCAGCUAACGAAACUAUAACUGACGCUGAGGCACGAAAGUGCGGGGAUCAAACAGGAUUAGAUACCCUGGUAGUCCGCACCGUAAACGAUGAUUACUCGUUGUUGGCAAUAUGACCGUCAGCGACCAAGCGAAAGCGAUAAGUAAUCCACCUGGGGAGUACGCCGGCAACGGUGAAACGUCAAANAGAGUAGAGNGNGAGAGAGACGACGACGACGACGAGGGAGGAGG
rnacentral:rRNA from 1 species